ACAUUUGAAGCGAUAUUCAUGGAGGGGAAUAUAUAGAAUUAUGUUGUCUACAAAGUAUGAUGGUCCAAAUUAUUGAUAGAGAUGAAUCGAAGGGAGCCAGGAACAGAUCGGAUACAAGGUCGAAGUUGGUAAAAAUUAGUAUUAGAAACAAAAUCCUUUUUAAAUGGGAAAUAAACCUGACAAAAAUAGCUAUGAAAACUCUUUUGCUGAGACACGAGGAGGAUAAACAAAAAAAAAGAUUUCCGGCGACAAGACGAUGAGGUGAGGAAGAAAUCAAUACAGGGGCAACGCUGCAACGGAAAAAGAGAUAGAUUUUAGAACUGAGAUGGAAACUGAUAAACGAGAAAAUAAAAAGACAAGUUGUAAAAUUAAACUAGGAAAAAAGCUAUAAAUUUGAGAAGUGUUAAACAUAUAAUAACAAACUCAGAAAAUGCUACUGGAAAUAAAUAUCUCUAAAUCUUUGUUGGUAAUUAAAUCGAGAUCAAAUGAAACCAACACCAUUUCAGAAGUAAUAUCCCCAGGAACAUGAAAUACCUUUAUCAUGGUGAAGCAUGUUGCUCUCUCACAAUAAAUAAUCUUCUAGUGAUUUUCAUACACGUGAUGGAGUUUGUGACAAUCCUCACACGCAUGCAUAUUUAUUAUUUAUCACGUGGAAAUCUCUCUAAAGAUACAAGCAUUAUCCCAUCUCAUACGCUACAACUAGUUUCUCGCUCACACUCUUCUUCUUCCAACUCGUUUGAAAAUAAACCAUGCCUUCUAUAAAAGUUAGUUUAGGAUUAACUAUUUUUCAUUAGUUGUAAACUAAAGUUUACGAUACAAGCCAAUAAACAGAAGAUUAACCGACAAUUAAUAACGAACGAGCUCUCUAGCUGAUUCAUUUGAUCACAUACAUUAAUAUCCUCCCUCAAAAUGGAAUGUAAAGAGAUUAAACAUAAAUCAUGCCAUUAAAAGUCGGAAAGCCAAUAAACAGAAGAUUAACCGACUAUUAAUAACGAACGAGCUCUCUAGCUGAUUCAUUUGAUCACAUACAUUAAUAUCCUCCCUCAAAAUGGAAUGUAAAGAGAUUAAACAUAAAGCAUGCCAUUAAAAGUCCGAAAGCCAAUAAACAGAAGAUUAACCGACUAUUAAUAACGAACGAGCUCUCUAGCUGAUUCAUUUGAUCACAUACAUUAAUAUCCUCCCUCAAAAUGGAAUGUAAAGAGAUUAAACAUAAAGCAUGCCAUUAAAAGUCCGAAAGCCAAUAAACAGAAGAUUAACCGACUAUUAAUAACGAACGAGCUCUCUAGCUGAUUCAUUUGAUCACAUACAUUAAUAUCCUCCCUCAAAAUGGAAUGUAAAGAGAUUAAACAUAAAGCAUGCCAUUAAAAGUCCGAAAGCCAAUAAACAGAAGAUUAACCGACUAUUAAUAACGAACGAGCUCUCUAGCUGAUUCAUUUGAUCACAUACAUUAAUAUCCUCCCUCAAAAUGGAAUGUAAAGAGAUUAAACAUAAAGCAUGCCAUUAAAAGUCCGAAAGCCAAUAAACAGAAGAUUAACCGACUAUUAAUAACGAACGAGCUCUCUAGCUGAUUCAUUUGAUCACAUACAUUAAUAUCCUCCCUCAAAAUGGAAUGUAAAGAGAUUACACAUAAAUCAUGCCAUUAAAAGUCCAAAAGCCAAUAAACAGAAGAUUAACCGACUAUUAAUAACGAACAAGCUCUCUAGCUGAUUCAUUUGAUCACAUACAUUAAUAUCCUCCCUCAAAAUGGAAUGUAAAGAGAUUAAACAUAAAUCAUGCCAUUAAAAGUCCGAAAAAAUGUUCGUGAUAAAUCCUAUUGUUAGGAAAAACUCUCCAAUAUGCGUUUGCAAAAGCUUAGAGUUUGUGUUUAAAUAGAAUAAUAUAAAAAUCUUUGCCUAACAGCUCCUUUGAUAUGUAGUGCAGAGCAUUUGAUGCAAUUUCAUCAUGAGGAACUCUAGAAACUAAGUUAAACUGAGCCAAUUUGUGGACGGAAAAACAUAAAUCAUGUUUUGGCAAUGUAAGGUUUAUGAGUUUGCCAAUUAGACUAUUGUAUGCUUUAAGCACAUGUAAGAGAUCACCAUUAUCUGAGACAGUUUGAUAUUAAAAAGGCUUAUAACCUUAAAAACCUGCCUGAUCAAGCUAUUCGAUCAGCAUGCCUUGCAAUAUCUAAGCCAAUAAAAUACUUCAAAGGACCUAAGCUAAAACUCUAAAACUGAAACAUGAUUUCAAUUGUGAAUUCAAAUUAUAUUUGUCAUUUUUAUUAGCCACAACUAUGCCAUUCACAUAUACCAAAAACAAUUAAAAAGAUGGAGCCUUAUACCUUGGUGAAUAGAUUAUGAUCUACUAUAUUGAUCUUGUAGAGAUUCAAAAUUUAAUACAAUAGUGAAAAUUUGCUCACUGUUUGCUUUGACUCUUGUUGUGAGUCCACUAAAGGAUGUAUGUUGCUUCUGAGCUAUAGCCACGAGAGAGCGUAAAGCUUUAAACCCUGGAAUUUAAAAUUUUUUUUGGAAGCCCUUACCAUUUCGAACACAUCUGAUCAAUCUAUUAAUCGGUUAAUCGAAGAGAAGAGAAGCCAUUAAAAGGAGACAAGACGCGAGGGAAAGAGAAGCUCACAGGAUCCCCGGUGACAGUGGCAAGGCA
rnacentral:lncRNA from 1 species